GACGAACGCUGGCGGCGUGCUUAACACAUGCAAGUCGAACGGAAAGGCCCUGCUUUUGUUGGGUGCUCGAGUGGCGAACGGGUGAGUAACACGUGAGUAACCUGCCCGUUACUUUGGGAUAACUUCAGGAAACUGUGGCUAAUACCGGAUAGGAGCUCCUGCUGCAUGGUGUUGGUUGGAAAGUUUCGGCGGUUGGGGAUGGACUCGCGGCUUAUUAGCUUGUUGGUGGGGUAGUGGCUUACCAAGGCUUUGACGGGUAGCCGGCCUGAGAGGGUGACCGGCCACAUUGGGACUGGGAUACGGGCCAGACUGCUACGGGGGGCAGCAGUGGAGAAUAUUGCAAGAUGGGCGGAAGGCUGAUGGAGCAACGCCGCGUGGGGGAUGACGGCUGUCGGGGUGUAAACAGCGUUCGCGUGUGACGAAGCGUGAGUGACGGUAAUGGGUAAAGAAGCACCGGCUAACUACGUG
rnacentral:rRNA from 1 species